AUUGAACGCUGGCGGCAUGCUUUACACAUGCAAGUCGAACGGUAACGGGCCUUCGGGUGCCGACGAGUGGCGAACGGGUGAGUAAUACAUCGGAACGUGCCCGAUCGUGGGGGAUAACGAAGCGAAAGCUUUGUUAAUACCGCAUACGAUCUACGGAUGAAAUGAGGGGACCGCAAGGGCUUGCGCGGACGGAGCGGCCGAUGGCAGCUUAGGUUGUUGGUGGGAUAAAAGGUUUCCAAGACGACGUGUUGUAGCUGGUGUGGGAGGGUGAUCUGCCACACUGGAACUGGAACACGGACCAGACUCCUACGGGAGGCAGCAGUGGGGAAUGUUAGACAAUGGGCGCAAGCCUGGUCCAGCCAUGCCGCGUGCAGGAUGAAGGCCUUCGGGUUGUGAACUGCUUUUGUACGGAACGAAAAGCCUUCUUUUAAUACAGGGGGGUCAUGACGGUACCGUAAGAAUAAGCACCGGCUAACUACGUG
rnacentral:rRNA from 1 species